rnacentral:misc_RNA from 1 species
GAAAUGCGAUAAGUAAUGUGAAUUGCAGAAUUCAGUGAAUCAUCGAAUCUUUGAACGCACAUUGCGCCCGCCAGUAUUCUGGCGGGCAUGCCUGUUCGAGCGUCAUUUCAACCAUCAAGCCCCCGGCUUGUGUUGGGGACCUGCGGCUGCCCGCAGGCCCUGAAAAACAGUGGCGGGCUCUCUGUCACACCGAGCGUAGUAGCAUACAUUCUCGCUCAGGGCGUGCUCCGGGUUCCGGCCGUUAAACGACCUUCAUAACCCAAGGUUGACCUCGGAUCAGGUAGGAAGACCCGCUGAACUUAAGC